GCUUGCUCUGACAGAACAUACUAAAACUUGAACAAUAGAGUGAAGACUAGCAUGGUACCUGUGUGAGGAUGACACACAACUUUAUGGAAUGGUCCAAAGUUUA
rnacentral:snRNA from 1 species